CGUAAAGCGAGCGCAGGCGGAAAAAUAAGUCUAAUGUGAAAGCCCUCGGCUUAACCGAGGAACUGCAUCGGAAACUGUUUUUCUUGAGUGCAGAAGAGGAGAGUGGAACUCCAUGUGUAGCGGUGGAAUGCGUAGAUAUAUGGAAGAACACCAGUGGCGAAGGCGGCUCUCUGGUCUGCAACUGACGCUGAGGCUCGAAAGCAUGGGUAGCGAACAGGAUUAGAUACCCUGGUAGUCCAUGCCGUAAACGAUGAGUGCUAAGUGUUGGGAGGUUUCCGCCUCUCAGUGCUGCAGCUAACGCAUUAAGCACUCCGCCUGGGGAGUACGACCGCAAGGUUGAAACUCAAAGGAAUUGACGGGGGCCCGCACAAGCGGUGGAGCAUGUGGUUUAAUUCGAUGCAACGCGAAGAACCUUACCAGGUCUUGACAUCUAGUGCAAUCUGUAGAGAUACGGAGUUCCCUUCGGGGACGCUAAGACAGGUGGUGCAUGGCUGUCGUCAGCUCGUGUCGUGAGAUGUUGGGUUAAGUCCCGCAACGAGCGCAACCCUUGUUAUUAGUUGCCAGCAUUAAGUUGGGCACUCUAAUGAGACUGCCGGUGACAAACCGGAGGAAGGUGGGGAUGACGUCAAGUCAUCAUGCCCCUUAUGACCUGGGCUACACACGUGCUACAAUGGGCAGUACAACGAGAAGCAAGCCUGCGAAGGCAAGCGAAUCUCUGAAAGCUGUUCUCAGUUCGGACUGCAGUCUGCAACUCGACUGCACGAAGCUGGAAUCGCUAGUA
rnacentral:rRNA from 1 species